rnacentral:tRNA from 1 species
CGGGGUGUAGCGCAGCCCGGUAGCGCACUUGCAUGGGGUGCAAGGGGUCGGAGGUUCGAAUCCUCUCACCCCGA